GAUGAAGAACGCAGCGAAAUGCGAUACGUAAUGUGAAUUGCAGAAUUCAGUGAAUCAUCGAGUCUUUGAACGCACAUUGCGCCCCCUGGUAUUCCGGGGGGCAUGCCUGUCCGAGCGUCAUUGCUGCCCUCAAGCACGGCUUGUGUGUUGGGCCUCCGCCCCCCGGCUCCCGGGGGGCGGGCCCGAAAGGCAGCGGCGGCACCGCGUCCGGUCCUCGAGCGUAUGGGGCUUCGUCACCCGCUCCGUAGGCCCGGCCGGCGCCCGCCGGCGACCCCCCUCCAUCUUUCCAGGUUGACCUCGGAUCAGGUAGGGAUACCCGCUGAACUUAAGCAUAUCAAUAAGCGGAGGA
rnacentral:misc_RNA from 1 species